GGAAUUUACCUGGAAAAAAGAUUAUUGGAAAGAUAUGCCUACAUCUGCCACAAUAUGCAUUAAAAAAAAUCCUAAUUCAGAAUAACUUACGCUUACAACUUAUGCCUGACUCUGCUGGUCACUCUACACCUGACUUACUAAGAAAUGCAAGAGACUAAAGUUCUCCUUAUGAACAUCUAUGUUUCUACUGACGGAGGCUACAUUCUCGCAAUGUCUGCCAUUUCUGGAGCUAAGAGCUGUUACCCUGUGUCUCUGCUGCUCGGAUUGGGAGUUCCCUACAGAAGGAGACCUGCUGGGUCCUCAGUGCCUGUGAAUCCACUGCUUUGUGUGUAACAUGUUUUCCAGAAGGAUUUGGAGAAGGAGUCUACAGGCCACAAGAAUCUGUCGAGCUGUUGACCAAACGUGAAUGAAAACUCGGGAUUAGAAUAAAAAAGAAAAUGGAGAGAGGGGUCAAGGAAAUGAAAGAAAGAAAGAAAGAAAGAAAAAAAGAAAGAAAGA